rnacentral:misc_RNA from 1 species
ACAAACUUGGUCAUUUAGAGGAAGUAAAAGUCGUAACAAGGUUUCCGUAGGUGAACCUGCGGAAGGAUCAUUACAGUAUUCUUUUGCCAGCGCUUAAUUGCGCGGCGAAAAACCUUACACACUAUGUUUUUUUAAUUUGAAACUAUUGCUUUGGUCUGGCUUAGAAAUAGGUUGGGCCAAAGGUUUUAUCAAAACUUCAAUAUUUAUUAUUGAAUUGUUAUUUUUAAUUUUAUGUCAAUUUGUUGAUUAAUAUCAAAAAUCUUCAAAACUUUCAACAACGGAUCUCUUGGUUCUCGCAUCGAUGAAGAACGCAGC